AAUUUCUGCUGCUCCGCAUUCGUUCCUUUUUGGUUUCGUUUGCGUUGUGGCUUUUUUCUGGUUGAUUUGGCUUCGGCCUUUUUUUCCAGAUUUUUUACUUUGAGAAAAUUAGAGUGCUUCAAGCAGGCUUUUGCCUUGAAUACUUUAGCAUGGAAUAAUAAAGUAGGACUUUGGUUCUAUUUUGUUGGUUUUUGAACCAAAGUAAUGGUUAAUAGGAACAGUUGGGGGCAUUCGUAUUUAACUGUCAGAGGUGAAAUUCUUAGAUUUGUUAAAGACGAACUACUGCGAAAGCAUUUGCCAAGGAUGUUUUCAUUAAUCAAGAACGAAAGUUAGGGGAUCGAAGACGAUCAGAUACCGUCGUAGUCCUAACCAUAAACUAUGCCGACUAGAGAUUGG
rnacentral:rRNA from 1 species